rnacentral:rRNA from 1 species
GUAUAUUUUGGGUUUUUGUUGUGUUUAUUAGAAAAUUUGUUUUUAGUAGUUUGAGCGAAGUUUGGUGGUUUCCUAGAGAGGAUUUAGUACUGAGAAGGAAAGUUAUAUUAUUUAUUUUGAAUAUUAGGCUUGUUAGUACCUUUUGUAUUAGGGUUGAUUUAUGUGGUUUUGCUUUUGUUAUUUCUCGAUGAGUAUCGGGCUAUUUUUCCUUGGUUUAUUCUCGUUGUAUAGAGUUGUAUAGGGGGUUAUAGGUAUGAAAUAUUAUUCAAGUUGCUUUUUAUCUAGUUCUUUAAGAAAUUUAAUAGUUGGUAGUGUUAUUAUGACGAUAAGCAGGGAUUAGCUUGUUUAUUUUUUAUAUUGGGUUGUGGUUGAAGUUUGUUUGUUAAGUUGAUAGUGCUUGUUUUAAUGGAGUUAUUAUUGAGCAGGUUAUCUUUAUUAUUUUUUGGUUUUGUUUUUGUAUUGGGGUUGGUUUGUUAAUUUUUAGUGGUCUGUAAUAAUGAUUGUAUUAGUAAUAAUUUUUAUUAGUUUACUUUUAUUUUGUUCUGAUUGAUAUUUUAGGUAGGUGUAAUUUUAAAUUAGAAUUAAUGAAUUAGGCAAUACGAACUUCUGACUGUUUAGCAAAGACAUUGUUUUUUGUUGUGGUAAAAAAUAAGUUCUGUCCACUGCUAUUAGGUGAAGGGCUGCAGUAUUUUGACUGUAUGAAGGUAGCAUAAUCAUUAGCUUCUUAAUUAGAAGCUGGUAUGAAGGUGAAACAGGGGUUUGCUGUAUUUUUUCUAUUUGUUGAAUUUUAUUUUCAUGUGAAAAAUCAUGAUUGGGUUAAUGGGACAAGAAGACCCUAAUAAGUUUUAUUCUUUUUCUUAAUGCGUGUAUAGUUUUUGAUUUAUGUAAUUUAUUUGGGGGAGUUUGGCUGGGGCGGCAGUUUAUUUAACAUAGAUUAAUUUUUAACUUUGUAUGGCGGUAUGUUGGACCUAGUUUGUUUAUAUCAGUGUAAAAUUACUGUAGGGAUAACAGCGUGAUUUUUUUUGAGAGUUCUAAUUGACAAUAAAGUUUGCGACCUCGAUGUUGGAUUAAGAAGAGCGUUGGCGAAGUAGUUGAUGUUUUGGUC